UAUAGUAAUUACAGUAUUUUUUAAUAGCUAUACAUUUUUAAGUAAACUAUUUGUUGUUUUUUUUCUAUUUCAAAUGCUGAGCAUACAUAACUAAACUGGAAGAACAGAUGAAGUCCAAAACGCUAAAGCAACAGACAUUCCAGACCAAGAUAAAGUUCCUCCUGCUGAUUUACAGACACUUUUGGUUGCUACUUGUGAUUAAGAACUGACUUCAAAUGAUGGCAAGAGGAUGAUUUAAAUCGCAGCUCGUGAUGCAACGCACACUAAUCAACAUUUGCACUUGCAGACCAACUAAAUAGUUGUGGAGAAACACAUUUAAUUGAUGACUUUACUAUCUUUAGCUUAGGACUUUUCAAAAUCAAAGACUGGACUCCUUAGCCAUCUUUGUGUUUAUAGGAUUGAUUAACGGAGGAAUUUUAAAAGCGAAGACUGGACUCCUUAGCCAUCUUCGUGUUUAAAGGAUGUAGUUGAGGA
rnacentral:sRNA from 1 species